UGAUUCCACAGGAGACCGGCAGAUGGAAGAUGAAACAGUGAAUGAGCCCUUUGACCUCUUUGGGACACCCAGAGUUCCAGUGACCCCACGGUGUCAGCUGAACAAGUUCCGUUGGUGUCUGUAAUUGGGUAGCUCUGUAUUAGACACAGAGACUGUUGGGAAUAACAACCGUGGAGGGAAACUGUUUGAGUUAAUUGCACUGCUGCUGAGAUUGUGUCAUUUGGAUUCUGGGAAAUAAAAGGUGGGGCUGUUCCGAAGCCCAUGCUUGUGGAGGUGGCACAGCUGUGAGAGUGUUGACCUUGGAGAUUUGGCCCCAGAAGGAAAAAAAACAGGACAAAGUUCACUUGGAAGAACAAAGGAUCAAGGAUAUCCAGGGAAAUAAUGAAAAAAAAUGCAAAGAAAGGAGGCCUUGCAGUCCCAGAUCUCAAACUAUACUAUAAAGCAGUGGUCAUCAAAACAAUUUGGUACUGGCUAAGAGACAGAAAGGAGGAUCAGUGGAAUAGACUUGGGGGAAGCUGAGUGCCAGGAGUCAUUUGAAAGGCAUUUCCCUUUAGUAAAGGAUUCUAGUUUACAAAGUUGACCACUUGAAAACCUGGAAAGACUUGUAUGAAGUGAUGCAAAGUGAAGUGAGCAGAACCAGGAGAACAUUGUACACAGCAACAGCAAUAAAGUGCGAUGGUUGACUGUGUAUGACUUGACU
rnacentral:lncRNA from 1 species